GUUUCUUCAUGGUCUUUCCUUUAGUUUCUGCCUCCAGGUUCCUGUUGGAGUUUCUGCCCACGCUUCCCUCAGUGACAGACCGUGACAGGGACACGUAAGUGAAAGAAACCCUCUUCCCCUCCAGGCUGAUUUGGGUGAAUGUUUUAUCACAGUCAUAGGAAGGAAACACCGACUGGGACAUCCCCACUUAACCAGCAAAGAAUGAGCUACGUCUUGAGACCUCUGACCAAAUAUGUCCUGCUCACUGCCUCAGACUCAUCUGGGCCAAAGCUCCAAGAAGAAUUCCACUGCAGAGGUACCCUUGGGUGACAAAUACUUCCCUGACCUGGAGCGGGGCUGGCUAGCUGUGACCCUAUGACCUACGCUCUUUGACCUUGUCCAGGGAAGGCAUGAGGUACGACUCGGAUUCCUUGAGUCACUUAGGUGGGAGCUCAAUGGAUUAGGAAAUUAGGCAUGGGGCUGGAGAGAUGGCUCAGUGGUUAAGAGCACUGACUGCUCUUCCAGAGGUCAUGAGUUCAAAUCCCAGCAACCACAUGGUGGAUCUGAACCAUCUGUAAUGAGACCUAUGCCCUCUUCUAGUGUGUCUGAAGACAGCUACAGUGUACUUAUAUAUAAUAAAUAAAUAAAUCCUUAAGGAAAUUAGACACAGACUGGGGGAAAGACCAGAAAGAUUAGGUUGUCAAGGCUUCAUACCUGUGUGGCUCUGGAGAUGGUCAUACUUAGUUUUAACUGUCAGUUUAACAUGGUCACAUUUUUUUUUUUUUUUUGGUUCUUUUUUUCGGAGCUGGGGACCGAACCCAGGGCCUUGCGCUUCCUAGGUAAGCGCUCUACCACUGAGCUAAAUCCCCAGCCCUAACAUGGUCACAUUUAACUGAUGAAGCUUCUGUCUAGCCCUUUCAAAAGAUUUUCCUUGGGGGAGAAGAUUUUGCCCAAACUAUUCAAAGGUGGACAGAAAAGGCAUGUUUGCAUGUAUUAAAACUAUGGCCCUGCAUGUGCCUUUAUUCUCAGCCCUCAGGAGGCAGAGCCAGGCAGAUCUUUUGGCGCCCUGGUCUAUAGAGUGAGUAGACUACAUAUCAAGCCAGCCAGAUACAUAGUGAAACCGUGUGUCAAACAAAAAGAACAAUAAAAACAUACUUGGGAGGGAUCUUAGAAGCAGAAAAGAGGUUCCUCGUGAUAGCAGGCUUGUUCCUUUCCGUGUGGGUAGUUACAGGCAACUGUUUAUCUCAAAACAGGCUCUUCCUUAGUUCCCAUGUAUUUCACCAUGAACUCACAUACGUUUUGCAAUGAGAAAAGAACUCACAGUCCUUGCCACUGUUGUUGAGCGACGCCUUGUCUUCGUCUCGCAGUAUAGACCAUGGGCUCUAGAUCCUUUCAUCGGCAGGAAACUCCCCCCAACUCCCACUCAAGGAGUGACCUUUCUGUGCUGUUUCUAAGCAAAGCAAAUUUCAUUUCUCCAAACAACAGUGACAUGAGGCGGCUUUUCACCCUGUCCAGCUCUCGCCACAUAUUUGGGAUGCCAAGAUUCUUUCAAAUGGUGUGGAAAGUCCCAACAACCAGCCUAGAUGUCAACUUCUGAGUAAAUAAUUUCUUUUGCCAACAUUCCUUUCUGGGGUGAGCCUCCCAACUUUUCACAGGAUACUGUCUGUAACCUCUGCAUAGUCGAGCCCUGAGGUGAGCAGCGGCGUAGAGCAUACGCCCAGAUGUGCCAUAUGAAGAGUUCCUUCAUAGCAGCCUAACUUCCUGUCUGGGAAAAGGUAGUUGCUGCAGGUAGUGAAGUACUAGAAAGAAAGAUAGACUAAUUCAGAGAGAGAAGCAAAACCAAGAUGAUUCUCCAGCAAUGGGUCCUUUCUUCCUUUUGAUGCAUCUCCUUGGGUGGAAGUUAAAGGUGAGUCCACGUGACUCAUGGAGUCCAGCAGCCCUCCCAUCUCCUGUGCUAUAGUGGAUGGAAACGAGAAUUCCAAAUGUUAAGCUUCAAGGAGACUCUCUUCUUUGCCCACCUAGUAUCUAGAAUAAAGUCAUACCAGGAAUUGGACAUGUUGGCAUUUGCCAAUAGUCUCAGGGGAGUAGCUGAGGCACAAGAAUCUGGUGUGUAAGGCCAGUUUGGGCUACUUAACCAGUUGCAUGUCUCAAAAGAGGCGGUGGGUAGGGACCCAGCAGCAAGAGACCAGUGUAGCUUUGCUCGGGUGAUGAUUGGUUUGGAGAAUUCACGGGACUCCGAUUCAGUAAGGAGAAGCAAAAGAUCACUAUGGGGUAGGUCUUUUGGAAAGCAAAAGGGCUCAGAGUUUUUGCAGAAUCAGAGGAGACAGAAGACUCAGACAAGAAGUAUCCAGAGCAGCCCAGUGGCUGGGUGGCUUAUCUUCAUUUCCGUGGGAUCAUGGAGGUUUUACUGCUUUGGCUGAACAUGGACAAGACCAAGGCACCAGCGGUGAUUUACCACAAUUGUCUGAUGUCCAAAGCCUGUGGGUGGACUGUGUCACCGAGUAAAACAAGGUCAGGCAGGCUGAGAUUUCACCCUAGGUUUUAUUUGCCUGUCAUAUAUAUGCUUAAUAGCUUUUUAAAUAGAAACUCAUUAUUUCAUUCAGGAAUAAAAAAAGUAUUAACUAGUACAGUGCGACCGGAUGACCUAUGUCACCCGGAAUUCAGAGAUUGAUGUUCUUACUUUGGUACUCCCCCCAUGUGUCUGACUUUAAGUCAGGAUGCUUUUAGUUGGUUUGUUUAUUGGUUGAGAUAAGCUCUUACAGCCCAGGCUGUUCUGGAACCUGCUAUUUAGACAUGGCUAGCCUGUCACUCACAGUGUUCUCGCCUCAGGCUACCAAGUUGUUGGGGGUUUUUUUGUGCCACCAUGCCUGUCUAGUUAAGAUCUUUAGAGGGGUAAUUAAAGUUAAAUAGGUCAUUAGAGUGUUUCUGGUUAGACUUUUCAUCAUUGUGGCUAAAUAGCUCGCAUAACUUCAAGGGAAGAGUUAUUUGUUUCUGCCCACAGUUUCAGAGAUUUCAGACCGUCCCAGCAGCAGGAUAGAAUAAUGCUUCAGUUCAUGGCGGAUGGAGCAGAGCUAGCCUGAGGGAGAGGCCGGGCAAAUGCAAGCAGCAGAGGCACCUAAUGGGGCUACAGAGUUCUCUGGGGCUGGCAUUCUGGGCCCAGAUGUGGAACAUGGAACUGCUCAUCUUAAUGUUUCCCACAUGGUCUCUGGGCUGAUCUUUCCUCAAUAUCCUCCUAGUCCUCCCUCUCAGGAUGGAGCCGUCUAUGCCAGGCGCUUGCCUGUCAAAAGUAUAUAACUUGUUUUUUCUCUUCUUCUCCUUUACAGUUGCCUCAUAGCUAAGAGUUGACUUGGGUGCCAGAGGAGAUUUUGAACUCCAGCCUUCAUAUUCAGAAAUAGUCACAUGGAGUUCAGGCUAGCAUCAAGUUCUCUGCAAAAUCAAAGAAGACCUUUCACUGGCAUUAUGGUCAUAUGAACCAUGUCCUGUGUUUGUGGUACUGCAAAAUUAACCAAGAGCCUGGCUAGAAGAAACAAAGCACCGUGUGUGUGUGUGUGUGUGUGUGUGUGUGUGUGUGUGUGUGUCUGUCUGUCUGUCUGUCUGUCUGUCUGUCUGUCUGUCCAUCCAUCCAUCCUUGGUCUCUUCCUGUUCCUUCUCUAUGUUGAUGCUCAACCACCACCACCACCACCACCACCACCACACUGCCCAUCUCCCCAUCAAACACACACACUUUAUCCUGGCCAUAAUGGACUAACAUCUCUGACACUAGGAGAAAAAUAAAUCGUCCUCCCUUAAGUUGCUUAUAUUGGGCAUUUUGUUACAGUAACAAAAAGUAUGAGUGACAUAAGCUGGGCCCUCACCAAACCUCACUGAUGUCCCAAAAAAUAAGAGGAGAUGAGAAGAGGCACAGGAGAUGAGCAGGAGAGGUCACAGGCAGAGAGGAAGCCAAGGAGAGCCUCAGGAGAAGCCAACUCCACCAACACUUUGACUGAGAACAUCCAGUGAGGGUCAACUUCUGCUGUGAAGCCACGUGGUGGAUGAUGCUUUCUUAUGACAGCCCAGAGAAUCAAACAGGAAGCAAGCCACACCACACUAUGUCUGAAGUCUCUCUGUGAACUCUACUCCCACCCGGCAUCCCCUACUUUACAGCCAUUUGCCAUGGCCCAUGGAUCUAUGCUGUGAUACAAGAUACAUAGCUUCACAUGUGAUCACAGCACCUGGUCAUUUGGGAGAAUAAAUUGCCCUUUGGCCCUGAAAUUGAAGGCCCUCAAUCUGUCCCAUGCAUGCCUUCACAUGACCUACCCAAGAGGUGUAUAGCCAAUCAUAUGACCUUGGAGUGAGCUCACUGAUGACCUGGAGAGGUUGAUAGUGCGCCUGAGGAAAGCUCUAAAACUUUCCUGAUUGUCUAUAGGUAGUUGGCCUUGAGGGGAAGAUCAGAUCAACUGUGUGAAGUCUUUAUCUGGAUGCCUCCUUGGUGACCAAAAGAAUGUCACCCUCAGGGCACCCACAUGCAGAGAGAUCCCUAUAGCUCAGGUGGGGCAAAGGUUGCUUUAGAGACUGGUUAGGAAGCAAGCAGCUGCAUUCUGGGUAAGAAGGGCUUCUCCAGGGAGUCUUCAAAGCAAAGGGGACAGAGUGUGGGCUUGGAGGAGCGGGGGUUUGGACUGUAGUGUGUGGGAGGGCAGCUGGGGACGAGCAGCACAUCCCUGUGGCCUCGGCCUGUCCCUCAUCUCAUGAUUCAUGCCCUCAGGAGCUGUGG
rnacentral:lncRNA from 1 species